GUGGGGAAUUUUGGACAAUGGGCGCAAGCCUGAUCCAGCAAUGCCGCGUGCAGGAAGAAGGCCUUCGGGUUGUAAACUGCUUUUGUACGGAACGAAACGGUCCGGGUUAAUACCCUGGGCUAAUGACGGUACCGUAAGAAUAAGCACCGGCUAACUACGUGCCAGCAGCCGCGGUAAUACGUAGGGUGCAAGCGUUAAUCGGAAUUACUGGGCGUAAAGCGUGCGCAGGCGGUUUUGUAAGACAGGCGUGAAAUCCCCGGGCUCAACCUGGUAACUGCAUUUGUGACUGUAUAGCUAGAGUACGGUAGAGGGGGAUGGAAUUCCGCGUGUAGCAGUGAAAUGCGUAGAUAUGCGGAGGAACACCGAUGGCGAAGGCAAUCCCCUGGACCUGUACUGACGCUCAUGCACGAAAGCGUGGGGAGCAAACAGGAUUAGAAACCCUUGUAGUCC
rnacentral:rRNA from 1 species